UUUUUUAAUACUAAUAACUUAAAAUGAUUAUCACGGCUGCAAAUGGCAAUUAUUUUCAUGUUAGUAGAGGGAUGAAUCUUUUUCUUUUCUGAAUUACUGAAGGUCAGAGAAGAAAAGAAAGUUUCUGACAAUCCUCAUCCUAUCUCCUAAUAUUCUUUGCUUCCAGAAAAAUGAGUGCUAAGGCUAGAAGAAAGGGAGGUAUUUGAAACCAACAUAUAUUAACUGAAUACUAUGUAUUUGGCAUUUUUGUGGGAUGCUUUGUGUACAUUGUGUUGUUUAAUCUUCAUUAAUCUUCAUUUAAAGGUACAAAUUAUCUAUUAUAAUCACUGUUUUAGAGAUGAAGAAAUUGGGGCUCACGGAUUAAAUGACACCUAUUUUUCAUAUCACACACUACAAAAUCUCAAACACAGGUAUAUCUUCCCCUUAUUUUAUAAUGCUGUAAGUUUUGCACUUGAAGAGAUACUGGGGAUAUUCAGAAUAGCUUAACAUUGGUAACAUCUUCAUACAUGACCUUCAAUGGACAUACAGAAGCAAAACUCCAUAUCCACUUCAACGGGGUUGCCAUUUGAAAUCGUGGGGUCGAGUCGUUGAGUGUGGCAAUAUCGUGCUAAACUAGGACUCACCGAGAGAGAAGUUGCUAAAUGUGUAUCUCAACUCAUGAAACAUUCGGUCCUAAGAUAUCAAGUGCAAUCUGAUUCCAGCCUGUGCAUUUUGACAACCUUUGACUGCUCUGCCAAUCGCCAGGUGCCCCUCUCCAGCCCAGUCAGUCGUUUCUGGCUCCAUUCAUAACUCUGCCGGAUGCCUCAUUAGAGAAGUGUCCUGAGACUUCUUGUGAGAUAUGCCUUCCUGAGACCUACCCAAUGUGCCCAUGCUGACUCCUACCAGACAGCUGAGAGACCAACUCAGAGAAGAAUAGCAAAGAAAGCAGAAAAUGGGAGGCUUUAUCCCAGUGCCCAAUCCCUGCUAGCUGAGCCAGUUGAGAGUCACAAACCAGGGAAAUCCAGAGAUUUUAGUUUCAUCUAUGGCCACUGGGGGUGAGCAGUAAGAAACUGAGGACUGUAAGAUGGAAGGCAACAUGACAGUGGUACAAAGGAGCUGUUUGUUGUGUUUUUGUUGAUGGUAGACCACUUAUAGCUAUUUCUCUUUAAUUAAAAAAAACUGUUUUAUGCAGCAAAGAAAAACAAAAUUGAGUAUAUAUUUAUGUUGCACCAUUUUUAAGGAGAAUCCAGGUAAGAUUCUAAAAUAAAAUAAAAUAAAAUAAAAUGUAUUAAGAGAGAAGAUGGGCAAGGGUGGAGAAGAGAAAGAGAGACAGAGAGAGAGGGAGAGAAAGAAACUUUUCACCAAGUAUUCUAAAGUACUGGUAGCCAAAAUGAAGGCUCAUUUCUGUUCUACAAAGAGAAAUAACCUAUAAGUGCAAGUGUUUGAAAUGUUAGCUCCAGGAGAAUUAGUGUGACGGGAAGUAACACUUCCUGUAAAACCAGUCUCCUUACAGACGCAUCACCAUCUUCUUCCAGGCAAUUGUGUUUAGAAGUCAGGCAAAGGCAAGCUCUCAGAGGCAGAAUUCCAUUUUGGACUGCAGGCAUGUAAUCCAUAACUUCACCAAGCAGUCAGUAAACAAAUUCAUGAGGAUAUCUUUCUCUCAUGUUUUUUUUUUCCUUCCAGACCUUGCAUUUUAUUAUCUCACAUGAUGAAUUCCUGCUUUCAUGUAUAUAAAGACAACAUUACAAGUUUUACCUGUAUUUUGAAUACUACAGUUCAGCUUCUUCUAAUUUAAGUCAGUCUCCUGGUCAGCUACCAGACUCAAUCCAUCCCCCUUCAAAUUCUGUUUUAUGUUUCAAAUCCCCCAAUCUUUGACCCUUACUCCAAGAAGGAUUAGAAUAAGUAUCACACAUGAAAUAGAGGCAAUAAAAAUGAACAUUCCACUUUGAUCUUUCCAUUUGAAUAUUUUGUGGUGCAAACAGAGAAGAGUAAAGGAGGAAGCAGGUCUUCUUCAAAGCAGCGUUCUAAAUAGUGUAUGACAGCCAAUUACUGAGUCUAGCGCGGUCUUUCACACUUCCUGCUUCAAAUGAGAAUGCAAAGGAAGCCGUGUUCCUUUCCAUAGAUAACUUUUUUGAUGAGAACAUUGAAGAAUUUGCACUGGAAAAAAUAGAAUUAUAAUGGAAUUACACAAAAUACUGUAUACACCUGCCUUUACUGAAGCCAUUUUGUCCAGAUGUUAAAUAUUCAGACAUCAAAACACUUAAAUUAAUGAGAUAAAAUCUAAAAGUUACUAGUUAGAUGUAUUAAAUAUGGUUUAAAAAUACCUGAUUGAAUACCAAAAAGAUCUGUUGUUGUUGUUGUUGUUGUUUUUUGAGACAGAGUCUCGCUCUGUUGCUCAGGGUGGAAUGCACUGGCACAAUCUCAGCUCAUUGCAACAUUUGCCUUAUGGGUUCAAGUAAUUCUCCUGCCUCAGCCUCCCAAGUAGCUGGGAUUACAGGCGUGUGCCACGAGGCCCAGCUGAUUUUUGUAUGUUUAGUAGGGACGGGGUUUUGCCAUGUUGCGUAGGCUGGUCUGGAAGUCCUGGCCUCAAGUGAUCCAACGACCUUGGCCUCCCAAAGUGUUGGGAUUACAGGCGUAAGCCACUGUGCCUAGUCCCCAAAAAUAUCAUUUUUAUAAAAUAAGAUAAAAUAAUAGUUGCACCAUAAAGUUACUUUAGAAGUUUUUUUUUAAUUUAAGAAACUAUUUCAUAAGCACCUUGCAAUAGAACUUAAAACCUUCAAAACAACAGCCAGCAGCAAACAAAAGAUGAAUAAGUGGUACUGCAUAUGAAAAUGAGAGGAAGAUAUAGAAAAAAGAGGAGGACUGGUGAAGGGAAAAGGGAGAAAGUGGAGCGGGAGCAGGUUCAAGGCUAGGGAUGAGAUGGCAUGGGAAAAGUUCUCACAAUGGGUGGCCAAAAGUGGGCCAGUGGGAUGGUUACCUUAGAUGUGAGUACCCCCUCUUCCACCCCCUCCUCUUACUGUAUCUCUCAUAAAAGCGGCAAACUACAAAUGUCUAUGAAUGAGGACUUUCUGCAAAUAUUAAAGAAAAGGGUGUAUUUGACAUCUGGGUUUUCAAGCCCAAAAU
rnacentral:lncRNA from 1 species